GAUGAACGCUGGCGGCGUGCCUAAUACAUGCAAGUCGAGCGAACAGAUGAGGAGCUUGCUCCUCUGACGUUAGCGGCGGACGGGUGAGUAACACGUGGAUAACCUACCUAUAAGACUGGGAUAACUUCGGGAAACCGGAGCUAAUACCGGAUAAUAUAUUGAACCGCAUGGUUCAAUAGUGAAAGACGGUUUUGCUGUCACUUAUAGAUGGAUCCGCGCCGCAUUAGCUAGUUGGUAAGGUAACGGCUUACCAAGGCAACGAUGCGUAGCCGACCUGAGAGGGUGAUCGGCCACACUGGAACUGAGACACGGUCCAGACUCCUACGGGAGGCAGCAGUAGGGAAUCUUCCGCAAUGGGCGAAAGCCUGACGGAGCAACGCCGCGUGAGUGAUGAAGGUCUUCGGAUCGUAAAACUCUGUUAUUAGGGAAGAACAAAUGUGUAAGUAACUAUGCACGUCUGGACGGUACCUAAUAGAAAGCCACGGCUAACUACGUG
rnacentral:rRNA from 1 species